UCUCCUGGAAACGGGUGGUAAUGCCGGAUGCUCCGGUUGGAUGCAUGUCCUUCCGGGAAAGAUUCCAUCGGUAUGGGAUGGGGUCGCGUCCUAUCAGCUUGAUGGCGGGGUAACGGCCCACCAUGGCUUCGACGGGUAGCCGGCCUGAGAGGGCGACCGGCCACAUUGGGACUGAGAUACGGCCCAGACUCCUACGGGAGGCAGCAGUGGGGAAUAUUGCACAAUGGGCGCAAGCCUGAUGCAGCGACGCCGCGUGCGGGAUGGAGGCCUUCGGGUUGUAAACCGCUUUUGAUCGGGAGCAAGCCCUUCGGGGUGAGUGUACCCUUCGAAUAAGCACCGGCUAACUACGUGCCAGCAGCCGCGGUAAUACGUAGGGUGCAAGCGUUAUCCGGAAUUAUUGGGCGUAAAGGGCUCGUAGGCGGUUCGUCGCGUCCGGUGUGAAAGCCCAUCGCUUAACGGUGGGUCUGCGCCGGGUACGGGCGGGCUGGAGUGCGGUAGGGGAGACUGGAAUUCCCGGUGUAACGGUGGAAUGUGUAGAUAUCCGGAAGAACACCA
rnacentral:rRNA from 1 species